ACGCGUCGGCGAAUGGCUGGACCGACUACACGGCCUGCUACCAUCCCGACGUCCUUCACGUCGUCGACAGUCUGUACGGGCAAGAAGACGCUCAGAAGCGGCUAGACAUCGCCAGCAACACGCGCGCCAUAGAGAUGUUUGGCCUCACACUGUCCUUCACAAGCCUCGUCAUAUCGCUCUGCAUCUUCUGCUAUUUCAGAUCUCUGAAGUGCAGCCGUACGGUGAUUCACAGACACAUGUUCACCGCCAUGCUCAUACAGGUUACGCUGCGCCUCAUUA